rnacentral:tRNA from 1 species
GGUCAUGGCUGGAGCUGUAGGCGGGCUCGCGACCUGUGGGGUCGCGGCCGCCAUGGAUCGCUCCUGCGCGGUGACCG